CUGUAGCUGGCUGCAGCACAGGUUGUGCUAAGCUAUUUCAUUUUGAAAAAAUAAAAAAAAUGAAAGCAUGUUUUAUGAUAAACGCCCAUAAAUUCCAGUCAUGAUUGAUGGAAGAGGAGAUAAGUGAUCUGACCCUUGCAGUUAGUUCUGUUUCUGCUGUGAUUUUCUCUGAUGGCCCAUUGUCUCCAGAACCCCUUUGUAUCCCAGUUGCAUGUUACAGUAUAGGCAGAUGGCAGGGGACAAAGUUUCAUCAAGCAGAAAAUGAUACAAGAUCACGUCAUCUUAUCAUCCUGAGCCUCUGUGAGCUGUUUCUGCAGCCCAGCCUUGCCAGCGCAGCUUGAGUGGAUAUCUCAAACUUUCCUUAUUAAAACCGAAACAGAGUUGAAGCCUCACUUGAAUGGCGUCUGUGUUAGCACAUAAGAAGAGUGGAUGUAGCAGGCCGAAGAGAGGGAAGCAGAAGUGAGAGAGAAGCCACUACAGAUCAUCUUUCUGGACAGUCUAUCCAGAUUGAGGUCUUCUGAAUCAGAAUGUGGUGCCCUCGGUUUUCCAGUGUCAACCCCUCAGUUUGAGCAAGGUGACUCCCACAGCAUGUAAUUAAACAGAAAACGGCCUCACUAAACACAUUGCUGACCUGCUGAGUGGCUACACGCACUGGCAUCUGCGUUUGUCCCCACGACCGGGUUCCUUUUUGUUCAUUUUUCAAGGAACUCGCCACCCUGUCAAGGAAGCCAGCAACAAACAAGAAAAUGCUGUUUUUUGACAUCAAACUGGUCACAAGUUAGGAACUGUGCAUGAUCCAAUCUUGCAAACAAAAAGUUUGUAAUAUAUCAAACAGCCUCAUUAUACACCUGCCAGAACACUGAGGUGCCAGUUAUCAGACAGCACCAAAGAGCAUGCUUUGAAGAUGAGGUUUUAGUAUUAUUUGGAGAGAAACGUAAGGAAAUCCCGCUAAAUGUCAAAGACAACUAAUCUGAAAAAGGAGAUUAUGUUCUUUCAAUUUUAUCAUCUUAUCUUUUAGCAUCUAAAUGUGGCUUAUAGAAGAACUGGAACUGCAGUGCCUUGCACUGAUAAAAAUGAUCUAGAUCAAAAUUUUAAAGUGUAAUGUGCAUUUGUAUACUGAUCCAAUGCUUCACCUAUUUUGCCUUAUGCAAUUCAAUUCAGUUUGUGUUUUACCAAUUCACAACAAAUUUAACCUCAACCCACUGUACAAUAAAACAAUCUAAGUUAGACAUGUAGAUAUAGACAAAUUAAAAUGUAAAAAUCAAUCCAUAUAAUUAAGCAACACACUCAAUCUUAGUUUUAUUUAUCAAAUUGUUUAUAAAGUUUACUUACUAAGGAACCACAGCCGAUUGCAUUAAGCCACUGACUUUGGAGCAAUCACUUUUCCUCGAGCAAUCAGUCUUCCUGAACCAGCAUGUUGCAACAUUGGACAGUUGAUUGCAUUGAGUCGCUUGAGACCAUAAGACCUGGAAUGUUUUUAUUUUUUUUUCUGUGGAUCUUUCAUUUAUCACGUUAUUGUGAAUAUUUGCUCCGAAGAGGUUCUUGAGAUGGUGAGUAGAUAAGUCCCCCUACUCUCUGACUGAUAGCUAGUUCAUCAGCUGAGUAAGUGGGAGAUGCUCCCGUUGUGAAAAUAGCACUUGUGACUUUUAGCAUUUAACCCCUUAACUGGCGGUAUCCCAUCUAUGGGACAAAUCUAGUUUAUUUGAAUACUAUGCCUUUUUCGCUGCCAGUUAAGGGGUUAAAACAAUUUUCGCUCAUUUUUUAACACAGUGAUUACCCUUUGUGAUCUAUGUAGAGUCUCUAUACAAAGUCCACAGAAAGGUGCAACAAUAAAUUUUGAAAAGAUUUACAUUGUGAUCACUAAUUAUGAUUACUGCUUUACAUCAUGUUAUAGGGUUAUUCCCUUGUCAAAAACAUACCUGACACUUUACCUUACAGAGCAUCCCUCCCCUGCCACUCCGCCACUCAGCUCCUUCAGACUAGCCAGCAGCAUUUAGCCAACAUCUGGUGGAACUGCGCAUCUGCUGGGCUCAUUGUAUGAGCUACUACUCAAUGCAACGCUGGUAAAAACGUUGUUAAAGAGUUAAUAUAGAACCCAUG